rnacentral:lncRNA from 1 species
AAUCUCCAGCCAGGGUGACUGGUGUCAAAGCCGGAUCGUAAAGAAUGGGAGCAGUCGUUCGUCUCUGUUCAAUCGCACAAGUACCGACAAGGAAGAAGGAUGUCCACAGAGAAUGAGGGAAAUGUGAUGCAGGCGAGGUAGUAAAAUAAACCUCCCAUAACUGAACCAACAGGGGUGGAGGCGGAUGGAUUCCCUGACAAAGCCCAGUGAGAUACAGCCUUUUGCAGAGUAACUCUUGCCUGAAGCUUACUUCCCGGGAAAGCACCCCAUCACGGGCCUUUCCCAUCUCCCACAAACGUGCCCUGCGGGGCCAGGCUCCCCCUAAGAGCCCCAUGAAUGGUGGGAUUGCUUUGUGGUGCCCCGGCAGCCCACACCGGCCACAGCAGGAAAGGUCUGAGGACAGACUGGCAC